rnacentral:lncRNA from 1 species
AGGUGAUAACGUGAACUAGUGUUUUAAGAAGCAAUUUUGUUCUUGGCUUUCUUCAACGGCUUUCGCCACCUUGGUCUCCCGAGUAUACUGGAAUUGCAGGUGCAGUAGCUGCUCAACUUGAAAGCUCAAUUCAAAGUCAGCUGUUGCAUCAGGAGAAUAGUCCAUCAACUUUCGUACAAAUGCAAUGGAAUUCUUGUGAUUACUGGAAGAGCUGGCCGAGAAAUUUUAUCAAAUGUGUUAUGCUGCCAAAAUUUGGCACUAUUGAAAAUGUCAACGGCCAUACCACGCUGACAACAUUAGUUCCCAUUCGAUCACUAAGUCAAGCAGCGCUGGGCACGGUUAGUACUUGGACGGAUGAACCCGCUUUUAGGAAUACCGUGUGCAACCAGAUCCAAGUAUGUGUCCGGUCCUAUGGGACCCCCAAGUCUAUUGGCUCACAAAGCCAUUUGCUCACUUCACCAAUCAUGUCCUGCUCAGGAAUAUAGGGCAAAUAUCCGCAGCCCAACUCUCCCCAAUAACACUUAUACCUCCAAACACGUGAGAUGUUUUCCCACCUCAUUUUCAAUAGCCCCAUUCGGAACAUGAGAUAUUUUUUAACGCCAUGCCGACACGUCCCCGCCGUGGCCGCUCGCACAUUACGAGCAACUCGGGCCAAGUGCGCGCGACAAUGUGCGGCCGCUGCGUAUAUGAGAAUGUGAAUGUUGUCUUCUAUCACAUCAGAGCCCAGGAAGCAUACCUCACAAGGGGGUUGGGGUGGUAUAGUAUCACGCCGCAACUCCGUAAGAAA